UACGUAGGGUGCAAGCGUUGUCCGGAAUUAUUGGGCGUAAAGAGCUCGUAGGCGGUUUGUCGCGUCGGCUGUGAAAACUCGGGGCUCAACCCCGAGCCUGCAGUCGAUACGGGCAGACUAGAGUGUGGUAGGGGAGACUGGAAUUCCUGGUGUAGCGGUGAAAUGCGCAGAUAUCAGGAGGAACACCGAUGGCGAAGGCAGGUCUCUGGGCCACUACUGACGCUGAGAAGCGAAAGCAUGGGGAGCGAACAGG
rnacentral:rRNA from 1 species